AGCAGGCCUUUGUUCAUCACAGCUUGCUUUAAUCGCAGCCGAUUUAUUUUCAGGAAGCGACCCAGUGGAUCGUAAUGAACGACGAGGGAAAAACCUAACGGCCGUGCCUGACUAAAACCGAGAUGCUAACGCCGACACGGUAGAGGGUACGGUAACUGUAUGGCGGUGAAUGCGGGCCACACAAACACGUCGCUCUCUCUGUGCGUUGGGGAGUUUGUUCCUGGUUACCUU